GGCUGGCCCUGGAUGCGGUCAAGAAACCUGCAGCGGCGGCGCCCAUCGACCAUCAGCACAGCGGCAGGCUUUGAAGGAUCUGCAAUGAGCUCGAGUAGGGAUUGUUCCGUUCAUCUUUGGUGACUGUGCCUACCUGCAGCAUCCUCUGUAUUUCUAUCAAUGGGUGAUUUUCAGAAUAUAGUCAGGCCUAAUAUUGGAUGAAUUGGAUGGGGCGAUGUCGGGUGGGAGCAGGUCCUGGAGCGCGUCCGCGAGAUGGGCGGCGGCAUGGAG